rnacentral:rRNA from 1 species
AUUGAACGCUGGCGGCAUGCUUUACACAUGCAAGUCGAACGGCAGCGCGGGCUUCGGCCUGGCGGCGAGUGGCGAACGGGUGAGUAAUGCAUCGGAACGUGCCCAGUAUUGGGGGAUAGCCCGUCGAAAGCCGGAUUAAUACCGCAUACGACCUGAGUGUGAAAGCGGUGGACCGAAAGUCCUCGCGCUUUUUUAUCUGCCGAUGUCGGAUUAGCUAGUUGGUGUGGUAAAGGCUUACCAAGGCUACGAUCCGUAGCUGGUCUGAGAGUCCGACCAGCGAAACUGGAAGUGAGAAAGGGCCCAGAGUACUAAGGGAGGAAGCAGUGGGGAAUAUGGGAAAAAGGGGGAAACCAUGAUACAGCAAUGCCGCGGGCGGGAAGAAGGCCUGAGGGUUGUAAACAGAUUUUGUGAGGGAAGAAAACAUCUGGGAUAAUAAACCGGGGGGAUGACGGUACCGGAAGAAUAAGCACCGGCUAACUACGUG